rnacentral:lncRNA from 1 species
UCGGAGCAUGGAGAUAUGGAAAACAUCAUGCAAUCGAGCUAGAUCUGAAGGCAAAGCAAGUCUGUAAGCUACUGGACCCACACGCUCUAUAAUCUCAUAGGGUCCGAUAUAGCAAGGACUUAAUUUCCCCCGCUUCCCAAAUCUCACUACACCUUUCCAAGGUGACAAUUUCAAAAAUACCCAGUCUCCAACUUCAAACUGAAGAUCUUUUCUUCUAUUGUCC